AUGUUGUCGACUCCGAGUGAGUCUAGAGAAGCUGGGAUUCUCGAUGCCCUUGUUUCUGUCGAGAGAUCGCAGUGGAUGGUUGGGAGUGGGUCUCGUAUUUGUCUUUCGGAUGGAGUCCAGUACAGUACUCCUUCACCACCUCCACUGGACUCAAAGAAGAGACCACCGCGGCGGAGACCUGCUUCCCCGCUCGGCGGUGAGGUAUAUGGUGUCCGAUUCGGUUUAACCGACCCGAUUUCGUUGGAUUUCCCUACUCAUCGUGAUGUAGAGAAAUCCAACGAAAUGGAGUUGAUCCUGAGAGAGAAUGGCGGAUAUGCCACCCGGCAAGAACGGGUGAUUAGGGAAGGGGUUCUAGCGAUUCUCGACGGGGUCGUCAAAACGUGGAUCAACAACAUUUUCAGGGCCAAGGGUUUCGGUGUCGAGUUCAAUGCCAGGGUUUUCAGUUUUGGGUCGUUUAGGUUGGGCGUCCAUGGCGCCGGUGCCGAUUUAGAUACUCUGUGUUGGGCCUGUUUAUGCUUCAAGGGAAUAUGAUUUCUUUGGAAUGUUGUAUACGAUGUUGGAGUGCAUGACUGAACAAGUCACUGACUUGAAUGAUGCUUAUGUCCCUGUUAUUAAGUUUAAAUUGAAUCGAGUCUCGGUUGAUCUUGUCUAUGCUAGGCUUUCUCUUUCCGUUGUUCCUGACCAUUUUGGAUAUGUCCAGUGAUUCUAUUUUGUCGUGUGUCUGCCCUCAUGAUGAGCAGUCGAUUCGUAGCCUUAAUGGUUGUCGGGUCACUGACCAGAUUCUUGGUUUAGUCCCAAAUGUGCGAACUUUUCGCACCACAUUGAGGUUUAUUAGGCUGUGGGCAAAGUGCCGUGGUCUUUAUUCCAAUGUUGUUGUAUUUCUUGGUGGUAUAAACUGGGCGUUGCUUGUUGCUCGCGUAUGCCAACUUUACCCUAACGCAUUUCGUAAUUUGCUAGUGUCUUUUUCAGGAUCUAUUUGGAAUGGUGUUGGCCAAAUCCUAUUAUGCUCUGCGCCAUCAAAGAAGAUGGACCUUUGUUUCUUGGAUCACAGGUGUGGGAUCCUAGAAGGAAUCCAAGAGACAGGUACCAUUUGAUGCCUAUAAUUACUCCGGCUUAUCCGUGUGUGAACUCUAGCUACAAUGUCUCCUCCACUGCUCUGUGCAUCAUGUCUGCGGAGUUCAAGAGAGGAAAUGAAAUUUGCAAGGCUAUGGAAGCAGGACAUGAGGCUGAUUGGCAUACCUUGUUUGAGUCGUAUCCUUUCUUUGAAGAAUAUAAGAAUUACUUGCAGAUUGGCAUCACGGCAGGGGAUGCUGAAGACUUCCGAAAAUGGAAAGGCUGGGUUGAGUCCUGACUCCGACAAUUGAUAUUGAAAAUUGAGAAAAAUACUUCUGGCAUGCUGCAGUGUCGCCCAUACCCAGGUGACUUUCCAGACUAAUCCCUACCUUUUCAUAGCUCAUACUUCAUGGGUCUACAACGUAAACAAGGAGUUCCAGUCAAUGAAGGUGAGCAGUAUCAUAUUGAUAUAACGAGUUGUGUUGAUGAAUUUAAGCGUGCUGUGGAUGAGUAUGUGUCAUAGAAGAUUGGAAUGGAGAUCUGUGUGUCCCUUGUAAAACAGAGGGACAUACCUGAUUUUGUAUUUCCUGGAAGGUCUUGUGGGAGAAGCCAAUGUGAAGCUAAAGCAAGUGUUCAAGAUCGAGCAGGUUCAGGUCAGAAGAGAAUGAGAGUGGAUGAAAAUGUGGCGACCGACUCUGCUAGGUGCACUAAGUUUGUACGUCCCUAUCAAAAUUCUCAUGCUGAAGCAUUGCUGAGGUGCAAUCAACCGUUGUUGAGGCUCAUACAUGGGCAUCGAGUACUCAAAUUUAUAUUCCUUGGAUAUGUAGUUUAA